rnacentral:rRNA from 1 species
CUACGGGGCGCAGCAGUGGGGAAUAUUGCACAAUGGGCGCAAGCCCGACGCAGCCAUGCCGCGUGUAUGAAGAAGGCCUUCGGGUUGUAAAGUACUUUCAGCGGGGAGGAAGGGAGUAAAGUUAAUACCUUUGCUCAUUGACGUUACCCGCAGAAGAAGCACCGGCUAACUCCGUGCCAGCAGCCGCGGUAAUACGGAGGGUGCAAGCGUUAAUCGGAAUUACUGGGCGUAAAGCGCACGCAGGCGGUUUGUUAAGUCAGAUGUGAAAUCCCCGGGCUCAACCUGGGAACUGCACCUGAUACUGGCAAGCUUGAGUCUCGUAGAGGGGGGUAGAAUUCCAGGUGUAGCGGUGAAAUGCGUAGAGAUCUGGAGGAAUACCGGUGGCGAAGGCGGCCCCCUGGACGAAGACUGACGCUCAGGUGCGAAAGCGUGGGGAGCAAACAGGAUUAGAUACCCGCGUAGUC